AUCCAGCCAUGCCGCGUGUGUGAUGAAGGCCUUAGGGUUGUAAAGCACUUUCGCCGAUGAAGAUAAUGACUGUAGUCGGAGAAGAAGCCCCGGCUAACUUCGUGCCAGCAGCCGCGGUAAUACGAAGGGGGCUAGCGUUGUUCGGAAUUACUGGGCGUAAAGCGUACGUAGGCGGAUUGUUAAGUGAGGGGUGAAAUCCCGAGGCUCAACCUCGGAACUGCCUUUCAUACUGGCAAUCUUGAGUCCGGGAGAGGUGAGUGGAACUCCUAGUGUAGAGGUGAAAUUCGUAGAUAUUAGGAAGAACACCAGUGGCGAAGGCGGCUCACUGGCCCGGAACUGACGCUGAGGUACGAAAGCG
rnacentral:rRNA from 1 species